CAUACAGCUAAGGGCCCCAAGAAGAAGUUUAAUACGAGCAGACAGAACGAAGCGCCCCAAAACCCCCGCCGCGGCCCCCCUUCCCACAGCGAGGACCUUUCAACGCCACAACUGUUCUCGAGGAAGUACUCCGGCAAAACGCAAGUUUCGCUGAGGCGCGGCGGCCCGAAGAGAGACGCCCGACUUCCCGCUGCCUCGCCCUGCGGCUCGAGCCGGCCAACACCGCGCUGCCGGACGGAGAGGCCUCCGUGCCCAAGGAGCCGUCCCGUCCCCCCUCCCCGCGCAGGGCCUACUUGGGGCGCCCGCCGCCGCCCCGGACCGCUCAGCGUUGCCGCGGGGCGCCGCUCGGGACUCCCUGCCAGCAGGACAGAGCGUAGACGACGGAGGCGCAGCCCCCCUGGCCCUGGUAGCCAGCAGAAAAAAACGCCGCCGGGGCGGGCAGCGCUGCCCCACUCACCCCGCGGGAGCUCGGCGGAGCGGCGCGAGCCGGCAGCUUCCCCUCAGCGCCCACGGCCUCUCCAUGCACAGCACCGGGGCAGGCAGCGCGGCGGCGGGCUGCCGAGCCCCGCUUUACCCACCGCCUCGGCGCAGACGCUCCGCCCCGCCCCGCCCCCUUCCCCCUUCCCCCUUCCACCUUCUUUCCUUCCUCCCUCCCUCCCUCACAGCCGCGCCAGGGAGUGGGGGGGGGCGGGGGCAGCCCCUCGCGCUGGGCGGAGCGAGGAGCGCGGGGCUCCCGCUGCCUUGCGUCAUUACGCAGCUGCUAGGCGACGCGGGGCGGGAUGGUGGUCGCGGCUGUUGCUGCGUGGUGUUGGUGUUGUCCCGCCCUCAGCAGGCGGCGGGGCUGUGGGGGGAGGGGUGCGAGGUCUGCCGUGCGCGGCUGUUCGUCGCCUCAGCUCUGUGAUAGGAGACAGUUGA
rnacentral:lncRNA from 1 species